rnacentral:lncRNA from 1 species
ACUUCCCUUAGCAGAAUGGGUAGAUGAGUACCACUUGUUCCAGUGACCAUGAAGGUGGAGGAAGCACGUGCUUAAAGCUUGGUCCUCUUCAAGUAGAAAGGAUAACCAAGAUAAACUCCAGCUGUAAAACUGUAAUCCUGUGGUCUGCAAAGCCUCCUUGUAACUUCCAUUCUUUUCUCCUAGUUCUCCUCUCUGGGGCCAAGCAGAACAAGACUUCCAUCUUCUUCAUGGAAGCCCAUCAGAUAUGUGAAGACGGCUACCAUGUUGGAGAAGGGGCAACCAGAUAUAGAAUACUGUGUCUGAAAUCAAGAAGACCUGAAUUCAAAUCCAGCCGCAGACACUUACUAGCUGGGUGAUCCUAGGCAAG